GUAAGGGGGAAAGAGUGGGGGGGCCGCGAGUCACAGGACCCGCUGGGCUUCCUGUCUCGCGCCGCUGCCUCGCCCGCCCGGGUAGGCGGAGGAGCCGUUGGAAUCUGAGGGUAGCUGGUGUGGAUGACGCCCCUGCUGACAGAACAAGUGCAUCUGCCUGGGGUCCAGGCCAGCAUCCCGCAGGCGCUCCUCUUCCUCGUGGGCUGGACCCGCUUGCUAAUCUGAGGGAGGAGCUGGAGCUGAAGCUGGUGAGGGGCAGUGCGGGGCCAGACCCCUUCCUCAGUGUCACCAGUGGCUAGGACUUCCAGCACUAUGUUGAGCCCAUAUGGUGGCAGCAGACAUCUCUGACUUGCUCCUGAUCUGAAGAAAAACACUUUUACCUUUUGUCCAUGGAGGAUGAGAUAGCUUUGUCCUACAUGAUCUUCAUCAUGUUGAGGUGCGUUCCUCUAUUCACACUUUGCUGAGAGUUGUUAGAAUGAAUGGGUGCUGAGUUUUGUUGAAUUCUCUUGAUGCAUCUAUUGUUAUAAAUGUGUGGUUUUAUUCUUUAUUUUGUUUAUGCUGUAUUAUGUUCUUUAUGU